rnacentral:rRNA from 1 species
AUACAGAGGGUGCGAGCGUUAAUCGGAAUUACUGGGCGUAAAGCGCGCGUAGGCGGCUUAUUAAGUCAGAUGUGAAAUCCCCGGGCUCAACCUGGGAACUGCAUCUGAUACUGGUAAGCUAGAGUUUUGGAGAGGGAAGUAGAAUUUCAGGUGUAGCGGUGAAAUGCAUAGAUAUCUGAAGGAAUACCAGUGGCGAAGGCGGCUUCCUGGCCUAAAUCUGACGCUGAGGUGCGAAAGCGUGGGUAGCAAACGGGAUUAGAAACCCCAGUAGUCC